CGGGCACGCUCGCUGCUUGUUAAAAUUAGGGAUUAAAAACCCAGCCCGCGGCCGGUUGGCUUCACCCGGCGUGGCUCCGGAGGUGCUGUGAGGAAACGCCGCGUCCCAGCACACAGAAGGCGCCUGAGGAAGGGGAGAGCCCUGAGGGGGCUCAGCCAGGAGGUGUCACCUGCAAGGUGCCCACAGGAGCCAGACACACGCUGCACACACUCACCGCCACUCAAAUGCUGUGUGCGUGUUUGUGUGUGUGCAAGGACUCACCCCCCAAAAAAUAAAUAAAUCACCACUGAUUUCUUACAAAGCUUUUACCACAGAAACCACUGCUCAAACCAUGAGGUAACCAGACCCACAGCCCUGGACGCGUAGCUCUGUUUGAGCAGCAAAGCCAAGAGCAAAAGUGCAUUGGAAGACAUUGGAGGCAAAGGUGGCUCUGCCACCAUCACAUCCUUUGCCUACACGGCACGCUGGAAAGGAAGUUUUGUUACAAGCACACCGUGUGUCAAGGCAACACAAACUCACACACAAUCCAUCGCCUCCAGAUGAUGGGCAUCCAGAGUGCCUGAAACUUAGCACAAGGCUGCCUCCAAACACUGCAUCAAGCCAAAGCCGGGCCUUCCUGCAGAGCUAGUAGAGCAUCACAGAUAUUUCCGACCCUGUGGUACUACAAGCAUUGACAACACAACAGCAUGACAGGCUGAACAAAGGUCAUACUGCCUCAUCCCUUUUUUAGUACCCGCUAUUUCUUGGUUGCUUCUACUUCAUCAAAGCCUCUUCAUCCUUAAGCUUAAAAUUACCCAUGAUCUCCAAGCAAGAAUAACCUCUAACAAGAAAUCACUUGAAAUCCAGAUUUCUCUUAAAAGAAACAAGCUUCUUGCUUCAUAAUGUAGUCAGGUGUCUCAACUUAACACUCCUUAUUCCCAAAGUGCUGAAUAAGUCAAGCACCAAAUUCAGUAAUGGCGAGAAACCCAGAUAUGUGAAUGACUACCUCAGAAGAAACUGCACAUACCUCAUAGAAGAUUUCACAGUACCAGGGAAUAGGUCAAAAAAAAAAAGGAUUAGGAAGGACACCUGAUUUAGAGGGCAAACAAUUAUGAUUAAAGAAACAAUAAGAAAAAAAAAAAAAAAAAGCCAAACAUGCCAGAUAUGUCUUUGAAAUCUCAGUCCUACCAGAACUCAAAUGCAUGUUUGCUGUUAAAAAUCAUCUUCCCUCAAAAAGAAUAGAAUAGGUUAUGGUAAAUCUUUUAAAACUGUAUUUUUUUCUCUGUCAAAACAAGGGAGGGUAAUGGACUUGAGCAGUACAGGGGGGUGACACAAGCAGGCUAUAUCUUCUCAGCUCUAUGGGUACAGUGGCAUUUUUAUCCAACUGGGAGACAGAAGCAUAUGGGUAAAGAAUCUAAAAAUAUCGCAGCAUUUGUAUCCUGCUGGAAAUGUGAAGUGUUAAUGAUCCCAUAAAAAGAAGCAAAUCCAUUAGGUUAUUUAAAUGGGAAACCUCAAUGUGACUCCAGCAAUCUUCUACCAAGAAGCACGAUGACCUGAGCAGCACACGCAGAACCUCUGACUGCAUCUCCAAGUUCAAUUCUGUGGGCCAAGUCAGUGUUAAAAUUACACCUGUGGUAGCAGACACUUGAUCCCAUUACAGGCAGCGACACAGGUAGCAUUUAUAGUCCACGGACUAUUCACAACGCAGCAUAAAUGCAAGCAGAGCACAGGCAGGCAAGGAUUAGUCUGCCCAAAAGAAAGCAAACACAUUCAGAAAGCCAGGAUAAAUAAACCAAAACCAAAGAGGGUCAUACUCCAACAUUACUUAGCUUAACAGAAAGCCGAUUGCAUGCACGUAAAGGCAAUGAAAAGAAGAGGUUGCAUGCUUUCCUCGCCGGUGUUUGCUUCCUCCUCUUGCUGUCACAGCCCAACGCUGUCAGUUCAUUAGCAGGGGCUGUCAUCUUGUUACAAGCCUAUACCACCCGCAGUACAAAGAAGCCUCAGUGUCCAACUGGAACCUCUACGUGCUAGAGUAACACAAAUAAAAAAGAAUAACUGUAAUUAGAAAAGACAGGACUUCCAGAGGGACCUGACAGAUUCUUAAUUAGGGACCGGGGCUCCACAGAGGAAUCCAGCACAAUGAGCAGAGGCAAUGCACAGAGCGGCAGCAACAGCCUCAACCACUUCGUGGUUCAGGGACAGGUUCUGAUUAAGCCUUCAUCCCUCGGGGAAUAGUUCUAGAAAUGAUGGGUAGUUCAACAAGGACACGCAUGCGAGGCACCACAGCUGUCAAGAAGUGGACUACAUUGUUCUCCAUCUUCUCUGGAUGGUAAAAAAUGUAUGAUACAAUAGAUGGUGCCCAGCUCUGUUACCUCUGUUUUGAUUCAGUUUAACUCUGUAAUUUUAAUCAACAACAACAAAUGCAUAAAGAAGGGCAAAGCAGAGACAGGAAAUACUGAGAAAAGGAACUGACAGGGGCUGUCUCAGGAAAAAUGAAAAAGGCUACCUCUUGGACAACAAAAGUAUGCCAAGAAAAUAAGCAAGGAAUGUAUAACAAUAAAUGGGUUUAAAACACAAAAAGAUAUCCCUUUGAUUGCAAAGAGUAAACUCUAUAAAUUAAUAGCUGCUGAUGUCUUCUACUUCCGUGUAUGGAAAGCUAGCUGUGUACUCGCAUUCAUCUGAUGAGCAAAAUGGGCCAACGUAAGAGAGGUCUUUCAAACAAACUGGAGUGAAGGCAGUAGGAAGAGACUGAUUUUUGAAACUGCUGUGUAGGAAGCUUGCUGUCAUUCAGUCAUUUAUCUAGCAUGGCACACAAUGUGUACAACACGGUUCAGGUACGAAGGGAGACCGUCCCAGUGAGAAGAAAGCAGAACCAGCAGCGAACAGAAGAGGGACCGGCCAACUAGCAGGUGUGUCCAGCAGACACUUGAAAAUGUCCUGUGCCGGGAGCGUGGCUUCCUGAGGCCAAAGUUCAAAGACUCAGCCUCCAAGCAGGCACGCUAGGGGAAAAAUUCCUGUAAAGAGGCAGUCCUGCACUUCAAAGAGCAUUACGGAAGAAUGAAAUCAUAAGGGGACGUGUUAUGGAUGAGGGCGCUGUCCUCUGUCACUAUGUGCCGAUCAUUUUUCCUGUUCAUUCUGCCCGUGGUCUUUUUUGCACCGUAUCCACCCAAGACACUGACCAUAAGGACCCAUCCCUUGGGGCAGAGACACCAACAGCUUUCAGGUUCCUGCUCUGUCCCUCCUUCCCACAGCACCCAUCCGCAUCAGUCAGAUCCAUCAGGGACAGGAAAGAAAGGAGCACAGAGCCACGGUCACAGCAGAAGGUGCAGCUGCGCUUUAAGGGUCGCAUCACUCACGCCUGUGGCUGAGGAGCAUCCUGCACUCAAGCCAAGACUACGGGUCUUGCUUGUGAGGUGGCACUAGCAGGACUCUGCAGUUAAACCAAAAACACGGAGCGGGAUUCUUAGAAAGACACAUUCUGGGCUGUAGGCACCUUGAUGGAGCACCAAACCUCACAAUGAGUUUGUCUCUGCUGUACAGUGGCUCUUUAGUACUGAUUUUUCCAAAUCUAUAAAGCCCGCUGCCCACAAAGUUUUCAAUAAUCAGCAGCACAGCAGCUGCUGUGUGCUACACACCUGCACUCUGGCACAAGGAAACCCGUGCUCUGAAAACCCAGCAGCAGACACGGUGUACAAAGUGAGAGCUGGAUCCAAUAAAAGACUCUCACAAGCCAUACUCCAGCAACCAAAUUUUUAAAUUCACAGUGCUCACUCAGAAAAAUAACCCACAGACCCAAGAAGGGAAGGUAGGUGCCUUAAAAUACAACCUAAAUUUCUUGUAUGCUGAGAAGGACACCCAGACUGAAGUAAACCAAGAAUCAAGCCACCUUUCAACCCAGCAAUUCCAGUCCCAGUGUUUAGCCCCACUUUUUUGCCCUGCAACCUUAUCCCACUGAUCAGGAGCCUACCACCCUUCCUUGACCAUCCCGUGGGCCAUACCAGCUAACCAGCCACAGCUCCCUGCUCCCUCAAUUUCCACCCGGUUAGAGCAGCUGGAACAGGAGCGCUUUGGUUGUCUGAAGACUUCUCUAGCUCCAAGUUCUUCUGCACAUGUUCAAAAAUGCCCCUUUGUUGGAAACAGCCCUCAAAACACCAAGUUCAGCUAAUGCUGGCAAGUUUGGGAAGGAAAUUUACAGCCCUCUUAAAAUGCCAACCACUUCUGUGGCAGCCUUGAUAAACUGGUUCUCUGAGUCUUACACAACACCUAGAGCCACUUUUCUCUUUAAGCUGCCUUGUGGAAAUGAUACCGUGAGACUGAUACUGCUGUUUGAGAUCAUCCCUUCAGAUCUGCACCUGUAUUAAACAACGCUCAGGAAAACAGUAUGUUCUCUGCAGUGGAAGUUACUGGAUUUUUGUUACCUUCCUUGGACCCUGGUCAAAUUCCCAUCAAAGUCUACAAACAGACUUCCAUGGGACAGGUAUUUGAUCGCUCCCUAAGAUACAAACACAGUAAGUUAAGGGCGUCAUGGUGUUCCAGAUGCUACAGCUUUGUUUUCAGAAGUUUCCAUUCUAUUUUUGUAUUUCACACACACACAAAAAGAGGGUUAAAAAAAAAAAAGAAAAAAAUAUAAGACGGCACAGAGAAUGCCAAGCCUGUAAAACUUAGCAAAUACAAGACUGAGAGUUGCUUUUGCAACUGCAAUUACAAUCCACCUGCAGGCCCGCCUUGUGAACUGAGUCUGCUGACACACAUGCAUGUGAGAAUGCAUAAAUGCAUAAAGCAUCACACAUCGGCACACAGGAGGUCUGGUUACAACUGCACAAGUAAUAUUUCCACUGUUUCCAAAAAUUCCUAGUCCCACAUCCCCCCCCGCCACCAUUUUUUUCUUCUUAUUUUCUUGUCUAUUUAAAGGAAAAGGUGGCAGCAGCUAGCAGGCAGCUGUCGCAGCCCCCUGUGACUUUACCAGCCCAGGGCUGCUGGGCUCCAGGAGCGACCCAGGACGAUGCGGAGCAUUCCCUGGAGCUGGAGUGGGCGAAGCACCGUGACGUGCUGCUCCAGCUGCCAGCAGCGUUAGGGCAGCAGCCAACGAAACCCAGCUGAAGGGGUAAUUUGGGAGCUCUGUUAGCAGCAGAGGCCGGUAAGCAGGGGUGUUGCACCCCCUCCCACGGCCCCCUGCAGUGCCCCUGGUGCAGCAGGCAGCGCCGCUGUUCGGAUGCAGCGUGCGCUCGGGCUGCAGGAGUCCAAUCGCUCAGGGUUUGUUUACACUGGAAGAGCUCUGCUGCUAGCGGUGCUGGCAUCGCUCCUCCAUGUGGAUGUAACAUAUGCCAGAGAGGGAAUUCCUCUGCCAGUCUAACCGUACCGCUUCCCCCAGUGACAUCGACGCAGCCAACUAAAGCACCGCUCUGUCAGCACAGCUGCAUCGGCUGGGGGCGUAGGACUUGACGGCUUUUUUCCCCCCUCUGCGUGUGUGAAAAUACUCCACGGGCCUACAAAAACCCUACAGCGGAGACCCUGCCCCGGGCAAGCUGCCAGCAUUUUCCUACGGUGCUUGCUGCAGAGCUGGAAAAUGGAGACCCGAAUGCUCCUAGACCUGAAUGCUCCUGGACCCGAACAGCGUUUAGUGGGCCAAGAGGGGACUCUACCCACAAGGUCUGCAGGGAGGAACAGAGUUAGGGGAAUUUUAAAUAAAUGUAUAUUUAUAUCUAUAAAAUUAGUAAACUUCACUGUAAGGCCAGACGUGCAUUUUUUUCUAAGGUUUUUCCAAGUUACAGUCGUAGACAUCGUCACCUGAACGAUGCUCUGCACUCUGCCCCCUAGCACCCCAAACCUCAGCACCCCAAAAAGCUCCUCCUCUUCUCCACAGAGAUGUGGUGCUCAGAGGACGGCCUGGGUACCCAAGGGCUAAGGAAUCACCUCUUCUGUUGUCCAUAUUACAUGCAGACCUAGAAAGAACACAUCAUCUAGGGGCUGUAAAAAGGAUGAUAAAGAGGGUAAGAUUGGCAAAACUACACUCUCUCUGUAUUUUUCUCACAAAAAUGAUUUCCUCACAAAUACUUUCACAAAUUUCCCCCUCUUCUCUGGGUCUGGCAUUCCCUUACUUAACUCAGCCUAGAUCCUUCAGCAUUAAGAAGGUCUGAUAUUUGAAGGAGAAAGGGACACCGAAUACAGACACAGGUCCUCUGCUUCCUCAGCAUACCGUGUUUCUCUGGACAACAUCACAGCCACCACAGUGACACAGCCAGUGAAUAAAUGCAAAAAGCAGCAGCGCUCUCCACCAGCGACCCUCCUGUAUUCCUGCACUCACAAGGCAGCAAGAGCAACGUGGUAACUGACAGCGUGGUCAAUGACAACUCCGUAAUAAGACCAAAUGAUCCCAUGAGGAAGCUCACAGUAGCACUUAAGAGAAUGAGCCCUAUUUAGGAAAAAGGCAUUUUAAUGCUCUCACCUGGGCUAACCUUCCCCAAGAGCCGGGCUCGCCCUCGCGGCUCCUCCGCCCUGCAGCAGCACCACCCGCACGCACAGCGGCCACACGGCAGCCUGCCCGCAGGCGCAACUGCCCGGCGGGGAUUAUUCUUGCCAGAAGCACAAAUAAUCUCCUCGGGAGGCUCUGCGUGAGGACUGUUGCCCGGGGGAGAGAGCAUAUGCACGUUGAAAUGCAGAUUUAGCUUCUCGUCUCCCUGGUCCAGUCCUAGGUUGACCUGCUGCGGCAGCACCGUCCCUGUGGAUUUCAGCGAGGGCAGGCUUUUGGCCCGCACCCUCCGCUAAGGCACCUGGCUGCAAGAGCACUGCUGGUUAUUAAUGGUCCUCCUAAGCACCUUCCCUUUCUUUGCAAUGCCUGAAACACCACAGUCAGGUCUGUCCUCCUCACCAGGACAGAAAUAUUUGGCCCUGAGACAUCCAUGUGAAACCAGAGCCCAGUGAGCCCUGCCUUCACCUGCUGCUUGCACCUGUCCUCAGGCUGACAAGAUGGCCACCGCAGCCUGGGCCCUCCUUCUGGGGCCUCACGUAGAGUGAUCCUUUCACCUUGGGAGCCGUUCCUUCCUAAAUUAAAACCCAGAAUGCUUUUUUCCACCAAAGACCUCAAGCACUAAGUCAAACCUCCCACCAAUCCUGUCACGGUGCCAACAGAUAACCAAACACCGACACCAGGCUCCCCACAUGCCACAGAUACCAGCCCCUGGAUGCAGUGCUCGAUGCCGGGCUGACCCCAAGAGCCAGACUCCUUCCCCUGAGGCAUCUUCCCUGUUUUCUUCUUCAGGCGAAUGGAGCUGUCCUCAAAGAAACGCUUAUCAGUCGAACAACCGGCCGAAAAAAUGAAAGUACAAACGAAACUUAAUGGAGCGCAAAGUCUAAUAUGACAAGGAAAAUUCCCGCCCCAGUUCUAAUCUCUAUUUACAAUGUCAAAAGUGGGUCAAACGGGUCUGCAGUGGAGGGAUUGGUUUGGAGAAUGAUCUCUGCAAUGAAAAGCGUCCACGCAGCGAGCAGUAUCACGCCGCGAUACCUCCACGGCAAUCCUCUCCCUGGCCCUCCGAGCCACUCAAUUUUACAGCGCGGGGGCGAGAAGCUGUAACUCGAAACCCUGCCUUCAUUCAAACAUGAUCUUAGUGCGACUCCUCAAGGACUUACAAGAGCUGAGAUACUGCUGGAUUUAGGCACGGGGUGCUGGGUUCGGUAACUGCUCUCCCUUUUCUCUCUUUCCCUUAUCCUGUUCCCCAGGCGCAGGUUGCUGGGCAGUACCAUCACACCGCCCAACCCAGCCCUUCUGCUUUACCUCGGCACGUCCUCCCUUGAAACGCAAAGGAAUCGCAGGGAUGUCCAACAGCAGCCCCAAAGUGAGAGACACAAUUCAUAAUAACAUCACUUUCCAACGUGUUUUCAUUCACAGAUCCUGGAAUCAGCUCAAUUUAAUAUCUGUCUUCUGCUGUUCUCCAAGACAGAUGACUGUCAUGUAAGCAAACGUAGCCAAAGCAUCCUGACAAGAAGUUAUUCUGUGCAAAGACGGCGCUCAACUACAAAGCAGUCCAAAGGAAGAGCAUGCUACCCAGCCUUCAAACCCACCAAUUUGUUUUUAUCGACUGAAGAAAAAUCUGUUCUUUGACCUUCAAGUGCUUUAUUCCUUUUAUGGUCAAACAACCUUUUAUUUAUUAAAAUUCUUCUACUAAUUACUCGCAGGGUACCCAGAGGCUUUAAAAGCACAAAAUGCCAAAAAAUGUACUAUUACAUUCCUACACAUAUCAAAUCCUCUUUCUAAACAAUUUUGGAAAGAAAGAAAUGAACUUAAAGCAUUUUCUAGAAAACAUCUUCAAGAAACUGAUAAACAUUCCUGCUUAUUUUUAAUUUGUAUAUUUUUUUAAGGUUCUUUUUGGUUUUAGUUGCUACUUUGUAUUUACAGGAAAGGGAGCUCUGUCAGUCUUCAAAGUGCCUGCUGAUGUCAGGUAUUUAUAGAAAGUUCCGAUCUUAAAUGAGUUUGAGAGCUGAUUCAGCCUACAUCUGUGGGCCAAACUGUGUAUUGUUUAAACCUCAAAAAAGCCCAAUUUGAAGUGUCAGCUUUCACGACAAAUAGGGAAUAAAAGGGCUCAUAUUUAAAAUGCUCUCAGGAUAAAAAUAAUGCAUAAAUAACAGCAGUAGCAAAAAAAAAGACAUGAAAAAAAUAGCUGAAUUCAGGGAAGGAUGCAAAUUUUAUGUCUUAUUAGCAAUGCAGAAGAAAAAAAAAAAAAAGAAAAAGUAUUAU